GAGGAAGAACUGCAAACCCAGGCACCACCAAUCCUGUGACAUGCAAGAUUCCUGAGUUGUGCAGUGACACUUGUCAAGCGAAAGGAGACCCAGGACAACAGGACUCUCUGAUGGUCUGCUGCUGAACAAUGACCACUGAGAGCAAGCACAGAAAUGUGGAGCCCAGAGAGACCUGACACACAGCAGGAGAACCUCCCCUAUUCCGCCCUCUUUCGGUCCAUUGGCUCACGAGGGACAGACGGCCUCUCUCGCGUGUGCUUGGAGGAGAAACUAUAUGAAUGAAGUGAGCCAAUGAACUUGCAAGCGCCAGAUCCCGGAGGUGUGAAGUCGUCCAUAGAAAUGCCGCUCUUGUCUGCCCCCUCAGCGUCGGCGGCGGAGGAGGAAGAGGCCUUCUGGUGGUCAGCCUCUGUAGCAGACGCUUGUGCCUCUUCCUGGCCUCUGGCCAAUGGGGCAGCCGGGUCAUCUCCUGGAGUUUUUUCCAGAGACUGACCCUGCUCCUGGCUGACAGCACCUGGGGUGGCCUUGGGGGCUGCAUCAUCUUGUGGAGAAGCUCGCUUCAACUUUCGGGACUCUGGCUUGGCCAUCAAGUUAUCACUUGAAGACAGUGAAGAUCCUAUGGUUCCUUUCCCUGUCUCUGCGCUUGUGUGGCCCCUCAUGGCCGCUGUGGUCUUUCUCCUAGCAUGGCCAUGUCCUCCAGCCCCCCUCUUCUUCUCUGACAGAUGGAAAAUAGAGGGUACAGCCGUGGGCUUCAGCAGGCGAUGCUGGUCCUCCAGUCUUUUGGAGAAGCUGUCUUUGGUAAAAUGCUCACUACAGAGGAAUGAAUACUUAGUCGGGGUCCAAUUAUCCCUCUGAACAGCUUUUAACCACUGGAUCAGUCGUUUGGAGUCCUUUAGGGGAAACCUUCAAGACAAAUGACAAAGUACUUAGAAAUAUUGACAUGCUUUCUUCUAAAACUAUCAUCAAUAAAAGCAAAUCAAGUAUUUCUGC
rnacentral:lncRNA from 1 species